rnacentral:rRNA from 1 species
GACUACGGCCUUGCCACCGUGAACAAGCCCCCUCUGAUCUCGAAAGCUAAGCAAGGUCAGGCCUGGUUAGUACUUGGAUGGGAGACCACCUAGGAAGACCAGGUGCUGUAGGUG